GAGAGGUGGAGGGUACAGAAGAGGCAGGCAUGGGGUGGAGUGAAAGGAGGUGCUUGUGUUAGCAGAUAAAAGCACAUGGUGUAAACAAUUAGUGGGAGUGGGAAUAAAGCAUUAUCGAUACUGUGUAUGUAGUGAUGUUGUCCCCUCAGCGGGGGCGGCCUGGUGAUGCUGCCUGCAGCGGCAACAUAUGGUGACUCCGACGUGAUUGGCGGAAUGCAGGACAUCCGCGGCCAUAGUACAGUUGGAACAGGUGAUUAAGCGAGGAGAGUGAGGGAUACGGCCCCGGAGCAGAGCCCCCCGCGGGACAGCUGCUUCCCAGUUGAGCCCCGCCCGUCAAGGAGUCGAAAAGGACCCGGCGCAGCCGAGAGCUGACACAGAGCGAGCCCGACCCCUGCCGAGACCAGCAGCAGCCGACGCCACCGCCUUCACCAUGCCCGGCACGGAGUGAGCCCCCCUGCCCCUUCCAUCUGCAGCCACUUCCCGCACCCGUUAAGUGAUCUUGUCCCCUCAGCGGGGGUGGGCUGAGCGAUCCGUUCGAGUGGCCUGGUGAUGUUACCGGUAGCGGCAACAAUCUUUGACUAUAUAUAAUUACAUUGUUUUUAGGAGUGUUUGAUGAGUUAUUUAGGCAUAGAAUUCCUGAUUAACUAAACCUUGAUGUUUUAAAUCAAAACAGAUAUGUAGGUAUCAGCACUGAUGAAAAGUCAGAACAAUGAAAAUCUAUCAUGAUUUCAGAUUCUGAUUCUCUAAUCUCAGAUAUCUGAAUAAAAAAAUAAGAAUCUAGGAUUCUUCUUUGAAAUAUAAUCCUAAGUCCAAAUAAAUGGAAAAGUGAAAGCAUACGUCUCUUUCUCUGAACCUCAUUUGGUAAAUAAGUUCUUUGAUUUCUGCUGCAAUGUAUGUUGACUGAUUGUCUGUAACAAUGUAUUAGAAAUGAUGUCUUAAUGUCUUAUUAGAAAUGAUAUCUUAUGUCUUAUUAGAAAUGAUGUGUCUUAUGGGUUUCUGGGUCAUGGUACUUCCCUCGCUUCUCUUAAUAUCUCUCACCUUUGGAAAUUAGAGCAAUGAUUUAGGGUGGGAAGGCACCAGCUUUUUUUUUUUUUUUUUAAAAAGUAGUCUUUUCAGAUGUUCCCAAACUGAGUUGAUUUGUAGAUCUAUCUUCAGACAUUGAGUUGUUUGCAGACUUCUAAAAUCAUGCAGUUAUACAGUUGUAUUUUCUGUGUCAGUCUUUCCUUUAUGUGAAGACAGUAAAGCUUACCUUUAAGAAGAGAGGUGAGACUGAGAAAAUCUAUCUAUCCAUCUAUAUCUAUAUCUAAACAGAAGCUGGAUUAGUUUUUCCUACAAAACAGUGUUCUGAUUUAGGACUGGUAGGAUUGCCUUUUUGUAUUAUGCAGAACAAGAUGCACAAAAGCAAAAAUGUAUUUGUACAGUAGGUGAGGCUACAAGGAAGUUUUGCUUCAAGAAAACAAAUGUGUUAUUCGUCACUAUUUUAUCACUUUGCUGCUGCUUAAAAUGAGAUUAUCACUUAUCUUAAACAAUUAGCAAGACCCCAAAAGCCUUCAAACCAAUGAAAAGUCUACAAGUUGAAUUUUAAAAAAAACCUGUAGAACUCAAUUAGAACGGUAAAAGGAAACCUGUAUAAAAAGAAGCCUUCCAGUUUUGGAAGGGCAGACAAAGAUAUUAUGAAGAUAUUAUGAUAUUGAUUAUGAAGAUAUUAUGAAAUAGUACUGUGGACAGAUGAGGCCUUUCUUCCUGAUUAAUAGAUCUUUCUAAACUUGAUCUCUUAUGAAAAUUAUUUUCUUAUCACUAAAAAGCAAUGCAUUGUCUCCACAGAAAAAACAAUACAAAUAAAAUUAAUUUUAUUCAAAAAAUUAGCCACAUAGCAGUGAGUCAAUCCCUGGAUGCCAGCUACCCACCAAAGCCAUUCUACCCCUCACUCUCCUCAGCUGGACAGAGAAAAUAUAACAAAAGGUUCAUGGGUCAAGAUAAGGACAGGGAGAUCACUCAGAAAUUACUGUCACAAGCAAAAAAGACUCAAUUUUGGGAAAAGUAAUUUCAUUUAUUACUGAUCAGAACAAAGAAGUGCAAUGAGAAAUAAAAACUAAAUUUAAAACUAAAUACAAGGUAAAUAAAAGCAUAUGUGAAUUGCUCCUUAGCUUCCUCCUUAGCUAUUAUUCUUUCUUCAUUCAAUGCAUUUCCAGGUGAAGUCAUGAGGCACAUGUAAUUUCCAUUCAUUUUAUCAGCUUUCAAUUACUUGAUUUUGUUUGUUUGUUUGUUUUUUAAUAGCAAAUUAUCCUGUUUGCUGAUGUGUUCCAGUGACAAAGUAUUUUCUGUGCUCAUACAAUAGACACAGAAAUUGCACCUGACUGGUAUAUGAUGAUGAAUAAAGGCAUGCCUUUUUGUUCAGUCCCCCUCCAGUGACUGAACACCUCUUCUGAUGAAUCUCCUCUGUUUUUCAUGCUUCCUUGAGUCACGAGAAGUUUUCUUCCAAGAACUAGGUCAGGCAAUGAGAAAUCACGACUCUAAAGUCAAAUCUAAGGUUCAAGAGCUGCUUUGGUUACCCAAGGAGACGAUCUACUACAAUUGGUAGGAGUGCCCUGUUUGAGCUACAGCUAGCUUGGAAACUGUUUCCUCAUCCAAAAGAAAUAAUGGUAACGGAAAGUUUCAUUGCAAGUCCAUCAGGAACUUCCACAAAACAGAACUGUUCUACAGAGCUGUGUUUCCUUAACCUGACACCAAGCGAAACAUCUCAAAGGUGGACUGCUGGGAUAAACACCACCUCAAAGAUCCUGCCACCUCCACACUGUUCAAGAUUUUGUGACUAUCUGGUCUUAAUGCCUUAGGGCUAUCGAUACAGAGGAGGAGGACUGUAAGUGGAACCUAGGAGCUAGGCAGUAGGAGGAUGUCAGCAUUUCUGAAAUAUUAAAGGUAAGAUUUUUAGUCUUGCAAGAAUGUAUGAUAUUGAAAACAUGUAUUUUCCAAUAUUACUUAAACAAUUAACAGAUAUUUCAAAUGUUUUUGAAAAGAUUUUAAAAGUUCACAAAAAUUAAGAUAGUUCAUUUAUCUUAACAGAAGGUGCUUUAUAAGGCAUGUGUGUAAAAAGAAGAAAAUUCCCCUGGCAAUUUUAGGAAUCAAUAUUUUAGUAAUAUGUGCUCAAGCUUUUAUUCAAUCAUAGCGUUAUAACAUUGUCAUGCCUUCUGGCUGACUGAAAUUUACCAUUACAGUUAUAUCAUUAUAGCAUUUGUCACUAACAUGUACAAAAUUUAAAGUUUGUACUAUAUAUUUUUGAACAAUGACCACGUGACAGGAUAAUAUAGUUUUGUCUCAAUUAGAAAUUGUGACAGGUGGAUCUAAUAUAAAUGCUGCUAAACCUUCUCUCAGCUUGAGAAUCUUGGAAACUUAGAAGUGAUCCUAUUUUCAGCUUUGUCAGAAACAUUCUGGUCUCAUACACCAGAAAUUAACCUAAGACAGAAUUCAAAGCUAUUUCUCUGAUGACAAAGAAAUGAAGCACAGAAAAACUGUGAUUUAAAUUACUUAGAGUACCCCAAGCACAGACUUCCCAGAGGAUUCUACAGUGGAAGUAUGAUAUGAAGAAGUUGACAGUUUAUAUAUUGUAUGGCAGAUAAUGUGAUUAGAACACAAAUUAUAAUUACCUCUUGGGCAAACAAAUAUCCCAGAAAAAAAAAAAAAUUCACAGACUCAAGUUUGAAAAUGUUUGUAAAUCAAGAGCAUGCAAGUAAUUAAUUUGAAGCACAUAGAAAUGAAAAUGCUAAGUUUAAUUUAAAAUGUCUCAGCAAUACUUGACUUGUGUUUCAGCUGAUUUGAGUUGUAUUUCUAAGCAUUCAGAAACUGAUCUCAUUCAUGUAGUUUAAAUGUUUUUUCAGCUCAGGCUAGAAAUUUCCUCGCCCCUGGGAAUGAAAGAAUAGCUUUUCAGCUUCAUGAUGUGAGCUAAUUCUCAUUUUAAGCAUAUCUUUUUGCUGUAUGGUUUGCUCUUUCUAUUUUGCAAGAUGCUAAGAUAUCAAAUAAACAAUAUUAAUUUAGGUGACUGUCUCUAGCAAAAUAACAGCAUGGAGGAUGUUUUCCCGGGAAAGUAUACAUGGAAAGAAGAUUGUAAUGCUAAUGAUUGGUCUUGCGGUAGAACAUAUUUUCAAAUAUGAUUUGAGAUGUAUUUUCAAACUAGCAUUGCACAGGAUAUCCUUACUGUGGUGGUUUAGCCCUGGCUGGGUGCCAGGUGCCCACCAAGCUGUAAUAUCACUCCCCCUCCUAAACUUGAUGUGGGAGAGACAAAUAUAAUGAAUAGUUUUUGUGUUGAGAUAAAGACAGUGAGAUCACUCAGCAAUUGGUGUCACAGGCAAAACAGACUCAACUUGGGAAGAAAAAGCUUUGAUUUAUUAAAGGAACAAUAAGAACAGGGAGAUGAGAAAUAAAACUAAAUCUUAAAACACAUCUCCCCACCCCUUCCUCUUCCUGGGACUCUCCUUCCUUCCCCACCAGCAGCACAGGGGAUGGGGGUUGUGGACAGUUCAUUACAGAUGGACUUUGCCGCUGCUUCUUCUCAGGGGGAGGCCUUCUUACACUUCCCACUGCUACACUGUGAGGUCCCUCCCCGUGGGAGACAGUCCAUCAUGAACUUUUCCAGUGUGGGUCCUUCCCAUGGGAUACAGUUCCUCACAAACUGCUCCAGCAUGUGGGCUCUUCUCUCCCCAAGGUCUCCCAGGUCCUGCCAGUAACUUGCUCCAACGUGGGUUUCCCACGGUGUCCCAGCCUCCUUCAGGCAUCCUCCUGCUCCAGCAUGGGGUCCUCCAUGGGCUGUGAGUGGAUCUCUGCUUCCUGGUGACCUCCAUGGACAGCAGGGGCACAGCUGUCUCACCUUGGUCCUCGCCACAGAUCACAGCGGAGUCUUUCUUCCAGGGCUUUUUCCCAGGGUUUUCGCAUUCUAACUCCCUGUUGCUGCUGCAGUUUAGCAACUGUGCAGCAACUUCUUCCCCGUCUUGUAUUUGUUACUCACAGAAGCGUUACCUCAGUCACUAAUUGGCCAGGUCUUGGUCAGCUGAGGGACCCGUCUUAGCCCUAUCAGCUACAGUGGAAACUUCUGGCAGAUCUUCUUUGUUUAAAGAAGCCACCACUGUAGCCCCCCCGCCACCAAAAACCUGGCCCAGGCAAAACCUCUACACUUGCUGAGGAUGUCUUGUGGCUGUACUGUCUCUGGUCUGUUUUUGAAAGAAGGAUUAUAUAUUCAAACGGCUGAGACAUAGCAGAACAUGUUCACACUUUGUUUUUCCUUUUCCGUCCUCCUUGCCCUUCUCUCUGCUGAAAAUCUAGGGACAAUAUUCUCUCACUAAGGGAAAAAAUGAACUGAAGACUACAAAACAAUGACUGUCUUGCACAACAGUAAGAACACUAUUUUUCUUAGGAUUCCAUGUGCUCUGAAGGGAAAAGCCUGGGGAAGAAGGUACUUUGAAAGUAAAUUAGUGAUAUUUCAUAGGAUACUUUUUGUCCUCUUUUUUUCUUUGCAUGUCAAUGCUCUACAGUUCUGUAAUGUUUUCUCUUUUAAAGAUUUUCUAAAAUAAAGCACUGGUUGCCUGUUCAUUUUGCAUACCUAUUCCUCUAUUUUUAAGUCAGAUGUAAAUUUAGUGUACACAAUAAUAAUAUUAGUGUGAGCCAGACAGUUUGGAAAGACACUAUAUAGGCUUUCUCUCACAGCUGUUUUAAUACACUUCUAUAUUGUCCUAUAGUAUCGCAGUCACUGGCCUCAGCUUCUAUGGAGACAUGAGAAGGAACAUCGGUGUACUUUGCUAUGUAGAUGUUACGUUGUAGCAAAAGGAGUUGUCCUGGUUUGGGCUAGGAUAGGGUUAACUUUGAUGAGGAAGUAGGAAGGGGCACAGCAUGGGCAGCUGACCCAGGCUGGCCAACAGGUAUUCCAUACCAUAUUGACAUCAUGCCCAGUACAUAUAGGCAGGGAGCGAGUUGGGGGCAGCGCUGCGGAACCGCGAGCUCAGCUGCCAGUCGGGAGCAGUUGUGUUGGGUCCCGGGUGCUGAGCAACUGUGGCACGCACCAUUCCUUUUGUAUAUCCCCUCAUUUACUGUUAAAACAGUUUUUUUUUUUUUCCCUGAACUUGUUUCUUCUUAUUGUUGUUCUUAAUAGAACAACCAUUCUUAUUUCAACCUAUGCGGGUUUUUCCCCUUUAUCUCUGGUUUCCCUCCUUGCUCCACUGGGAGGGGGAGGAGUGAGCGAGCACUCUCGUGGCUCUUUGUCCUCCGCUGGACAAUACCACAACAUUAUUUGGUGCCCAACGUGGGGCCCGCAGGGUUGAAAUAAGACAGAGUGGGCUGAAACAAUUUUUCUUGUGUACAUUUCUGAUAUUAAAAAGCUGCUGGCCACAAUGUUGAUUUAUAUGCUUAAAUGGUGUUGGCCAAUAAUUUCUCAAUGUAUUCUCUGUGAUAGUGUUUAUGGCCUUUGGAAAAGGGACAAAAGCACUCAUUCUGAUAUACUGGUUGCUAUUGGCUUAUGGUAUGGUUGUAUCACUGGGUAUGGAGCUAGGCCAGUACUUGGACAUGACUUGGUUGUCAUUUCUGCAACUUGGACAUUCCCUCUCAGAAUUUAGUGACAAUAAUGACACUCAGUUCAUUGCAAAAACGGAGGGACGUGGUUUUUUCCAUCCUCCCUUACUCAUUCGGGUUAACUGCAAUAGCUUUUGACAAUUUGGAAUACACUUGGGAUGUUCCAGCCAUUGUGGCUCUAUUGUUCCGUCUUCUAGGCAGGGUGUUUUUCUUGGGUAGAGUUGCAAAAUUUGUUUUUCAGACUGUUAUGAGGGUGGGUAGCUAUGGAGGGAUUGACAUACAGAAGAAUAGGAACAGGUAUUGGUACCCUGAUACAAAUGCCUAUUGCAGCAUUGUAUAAAAGAUUAGUGCAGUUUAUUAACAUUAGUACUCAUUUUCACAAAUAUGUGAUUCUGUCUUUUUUAGAAAAUCAUCAAAUUACCGAGGAGGGUUUUGCACUGAGUCAAAAAUUAAAAAGUUAAGAAUUCUGUCCAGCCCUUAGAGUAUUGUGUCAUCUACAUUGCUUGGCAUAAGUAAGAGGCAAAAUUGCUUUUCUGACUUGGUUUCCUAACGAUGUGUGUAACAGUGGAUACGCGUAGGAUAAAAUGUAUUUUGGUGGUGUUCACAAAAGGUCCACAUAAAAUUCAGUCCUGUAGCUAGAAGGGUACAACUAACUAUCUUCUUGAUUGUUGCUGUCUAUUUACCUUCUCGUGACUCAAGGAAGCAUGAAAAACAGAGGAGAUUCAUCAGAAGAGGUGUUCAGUCACUGGAGGGGGACUGAACAAAAAGGCAUGCCUUUAUUCAUCAUCAUAUACCAGUCAGGUGCAAUUUCUGUGUCUAUUGUAUGAGCACAGAAAAUACUUUGUCACUGGAACACAUCAGCAAACAGGAUAAUUUGCUAUUAAAAAACAAACAAACAAACAAAAUCAAGUAAUUGAAAGCUGAUAAAAUGAAUGGAAAUUACAUGUGCCUCAUGACUUCACCUGGAAAUGCAUUGAAUGAAGAAAGAAUAAUAGCUAAGGAGGAAGCUAAGGAGCAAUUCACAUAUGCUUUUAUUUACCUUGUAUUUAGUUUUAAAUUUAGUUUUUAUUUCUCAUUGCACUUCUUUGUUCUGAUCAGUAAUAAAUGAAAUUACUUUUCCCAAAAUUGAGUCUUUUUUGCUUGUGACAGUAAUUUCUGAGUGAUCUCCCUGUCCUUAUCUUGACCCAUGAACCUUUUGUUAUAUUUUCUCUGUCCAGCUGAGGAGAGUGAGGGGUAGAAUGGCUUUGGUGGGUAGCUGGCAUCCAGGGAUUGACUCACUGCUAUGUGGCUAAUUUUUUGAAUAAAAUUAAUUUUAUUUGUAUUGUUUUUUCUGUGGAGACAAUGCAUUGCUUUUUAGUGAUAAGAAAAUAAUUUUCAUAAGAGAUCAAGUUUAGAAAGAUCUAUUAAUCAGGAAGAAAGGCCUCAUCUGUCCACAGUACUAUUUCAUAAUAUCUUCAUAAUCAAUAUCAUAAUAUCUUCAUAAUAUCUUUGUCUGCCCUUCCAAAACUGGAAGGCUUCUUUUUAUACAGGUUUCCUUUUACCGUUCUAAUUGAGUUCUACAGGUUUUUUUUAAAAUUCAACUUGUAGACUUUUCAUUGGUUUGAAGGCUUUUGGGGUCUUGCUAAUUGUUUAAGAUAAGUGAUAAUCUCAUUUUAAGCAGCAGCAAAGUGAUAAAAUAGUGACGAAUAACACAUUUGUUUUCUUGAAGCAAAACUUCCUUGUAGCCUCACCUACUGUACAAAUACAUUUUUGCUUUUGUGCAUCUUGUUCUGCAUAAUACAAAAAGGCAAUCCUACCAGUCCUAAAUCAGAACACUGUUUUGUAGGAAAAACUAAUCCAGCUUCUGUUUAGAUAUAGAUAUAGAUGGAUAGAUAGAUUUUCUCAGUCUCACCUCUCUUCUUAAAGGUAAGCUUUACUGUCUUCACAUAAAGGAAAGACUGACACAGAAAAUACAACUGUAUAACUGCAUGAUUUUAGAAGUCUGCAAACAACUCAAUGUCUGAAGAUAGAUCUACAAAUCAACUCAGUUUGGGAACAUCUGAAAAGACUACUUUUUAAAAAAAAAAAAAAAAAAGCUGGUGCCUUCCCACCCUAAAUCAUUGCUCUAAUUUCCAAAGGUGAGAGAUAUUAAGAGAAGCGAGGGAAGUACCAUGACCCAGAAACCCAUAAGACACAUCAUUUCUAAUAAGACAUAAGAUAUCAUUUCUAAUAAGACAUUAAGACAUCAUUUCUAAUACAUUGUUACAGACAAUCAGUCAACAUACAUUGCAGCAGAAAUCAAAGAACUUAUUUACCAAAUGAGGUUCAGAGAAAGAGACGUAUGCUUUCACUUUUCCAUUUAUUUGGACUUAGGAUUAUAUUUCAAAGAAGAAUCCUAGAUUCUUAUUUUUUUAUUCAGAUAUCUGAGAUUAGAGAAUCAGAAUCUGAAAUCAUGAUAGAUUUUCAUUGUUCUGACUUUUCAUCAGUGCUGAUACCUUCAUAUCAUAGAUGUUCAUUCACUGGAGUGGGACUGAAGAAAAAGGCAUGCCUUUAUUCAUCAUCAUAUACCAGUCAGGUGUAACUUCUGUGUCCAUUAUAUGAGCACAGAAAAAUAUUUUGUCACUGGAACACAUCACCAAACAGGAUAAUUUGCUAUUACAAAACGAACAAACAAACAAAAUCAGGUAAUUACAAGCUGAUAAAAUGAAUGGAAAUUACAUAUGCCUCAUGACUUCAUCUGGAAAUGUAUUGAAUGAAGAAAGAAUAAUAGCUAAGGAGGAAGCUAAGGAGCAAUUCACAUAUGCUUUUAUUUACCUUGUAUUUAUAUACAUAUUUUAUUUUCAUUCUUGCCUU